AGUGAACGCUGGCGGUAGGCCUAACACAUGCAAGUCGAACGGCAGCACAGGAGAGCUUGCUCUCUGGGUGGCGAGUGGCGGACGGGUGAGGAAUGCACCGGAAUCUACUCUGUCGUGGGGGAUAACGUAGGGAAACUUACGCUAAUACCGCAUACGACCUACGGGUGAAAGCAGGGGAUCUUCGGACCUUGCGCGAUUGAAUGAGCCGAGGUCGGAUUAGCUAGUUGGCGGGGUAAAGGCCCACCAAGGCGACGGUCCGUAGCUGGUCUGAGAGGAUGAUCAGCCACACUGGAACUGAGACACGGUCCAGACUCCUACGGGAGGCAGCAGUGGGGAAUAUUGGACAAUGGGCGCAAGCCUGAUCCAGCCAUACCGCGUGGGUGAAGAAGGCCUUCGGGUUGUAAAGCCCUUUUGUUGGGAAAGAAAUCCAGCUGGCUAAUACCCGGUUGGGAUGACGGUACCCAAAGAAUAAGCACCGGCUAACUUCGUGCCAGCCGCCGCCGUAA
rnacentral:rRNA from 1 species